AUUGAACGCUGGCGGCAUGCUUUACACAUGCAAGUCGAACGGUAACAGGCCGCAAGGUGCUGACGAGUGGCGAACGGGUGAGUAAUGCAUCGGAACGUGCCCAGUCGUGGGGGAUAACUACUCGAAAGAGUAGCUAAUACCGCAUACGAUCUAUGGAUGAAAGCGGGGGACCGUAAGGCCUCGCGCGAUUGGAGCGGCCGAUGUCAGAUUAGGUAGUUGGUGGGGUAAAGGCUCACCAAGCCAACGAUCUGUAGCUGGUCUGAGAGGACGACCAGCCACACUGGGACUGAGACACGGCCCAGACUCCUACGGGAGGCAGCAGUGGGGAAUUUUGGACAAUGGGCGCAAGCCUGAUCCAGCAAUGCCGCGUGCAGGAAGAAGGCCUUCGGGUUGUAAACUGCUUUUGUACGGAACGAAACGGCUCUGGUUAAUACCCGGGGCUAAUGACGGUACCGUAAGAAUAAGCUCCGGCUAACUACGUG
rnacentral:rRNA from 1 species